AUUCAGCUGAAGAGUUUCAAAUAGAACGAAACGCGCGUCCUGGAU
rnacentral:hammerhead_ribozyme from 1 species